rnacentral:rRNA from 1 species
AGAGUUUGAUCCUGGCUCAGGAUGAACGCUGGCGGCGUGCUUAACACAUGCAAGUCGAACGGGAAUUAUUUUAUUGAAGCUUCGGUCGAUUUAAUUUAAUUCUAGUGGCGGACGGGUGAGUAACGCGUGGGUAACCUGCCUUGUACAGGGGGAUAACAGUCAGAAAUGACUGCUAAUACCGCAUAAGCGCACAGGACCGCAUGGUCCGGUGUGAAAAACUCCGGUGGUAUAAGAUGGACCCGCGUUGGAUUAGCUAGUUGGUGGGGUAACGGCCUACCAAGGCGACGAUCCAUAGCCGGCCUGAGAGGGUGAACGGCCACAUUGGGACUGAGACACGGCCCAGACUCCUACGGGAGGCAGCAGUGGGGAAUAUUGCACAAUGGGGGAAACCCUGAUGCAGCGACGCCGCGUGAAGGAAGAAGUAUCUCGGUAUGUAAACUUCUAUCAGCAGGGAAGAAAAUGACGGUACCUGACUAAGAAGCCCCGGCUAACUACGUGCCAGCAGCCGCGGUAAUACGUAGGGGGCAAGCGUUAUCCGGAUUUACUGGGUGUAAAGGGAGCGUAGACGGAUGGACAAGUCUGAUGUGAAAGGCUGGGGCUCAACCCCGGGACUGCAUUGGAAACUGCCCGACUUGAGUGCGCAGGAAGUAGGCGGAAUUCGUCGUGUAGCGGUGAAAUGCUUAGAUAUGACGAAGAACUCCGAUUGCGAAGGCAGCCUGCUGUAGCGCAACUGACGCUGAAGCUCGAAAGCGUGGGUAUCGAACAGGAUUAGAUACCCUGGUAGUCCACGCGGUAAACGAUGGAUGCUCGCUGUUUGCGUCUGACGUAAGCGGCCAAGCGAAAGCGUUAAGCAUCCCACCUGGGGAGUACGCCGGCAACGGUGAAACUCAAAGGAAUUGACGGGGGCCCGCACAAGCGGAGGAACAUGUGGUUUAAUUCGAUGAUACGCGAGGAACCUUACCCGGGCUUGAACUGUAGGCGAACGAUUCAGAGAUGAAGAGGCCCUUCGGGGCGCCUAUGGAGGUGCUGCAUGGUUGUCGUCAGCUCGUGCCGUGAGGUGUCGGCUUAAGUGCCAUAACGAGCGCAACCCUUGUUCGUAGUUGCCAUCGGGUUAUGCCGGGCACUCUGCGAAGACUGCCUCCGUAAGGAGCGAGGAAGGUGGGGAUGACGUCAAAUCAGCACGGCCCUUACGUCCGGGGCUACACACGUGUUACAAUGGCAUGUACAGAAAGCUGGGUGUAUGCAAAUACGCUCGAAUCCCUAAAACAUGUCUCAGUUCGGACUGGGGUCUGCAACCCGACCCCACGAAGCUGGAUUCGCUAGUAAUCGCGCAUCAGCCAUGGCGCGGUGAAUACGUUCCCGGGCCUUGUACACACCGCCCGUCAAGCCAUGAAAGCCGGGGGCGCCUAAAGUCCGUGACCGCGAGGGUCGGCCUAGGGUGAAACCGGUGAUUGGGGCUAAGUCGUAACAAGGUA